AUUGAACGCUGGCGGCAUGCCUAACACAUGCAAGUCGAACGGCAGCAUGAUAAGAGCUUGCUCUUAUUGAUGGCGAGUGGCGGACGGGUGAGUAAUAUGUAGGAAUCUACCUAGAGGAGGGGGAUAACUUAGGGAAACUUAAGCUAAUACCACAUAAGCCCUACGGGGGAAAGCAGGGGAUCGCAAGACCUUGCGCCUUAUGAUGAGCCUACAUCGGAUUAGCUUGUUGGUGGGGUAAAGGCCUACCAAGGCGAUGAUCCGUAGCUGGUCUGAGAGGACGGCCAGCCACACUGGGACUGAGACACGGCCCAGACUCCUACGGGAGUCAGCAGUGGGGAAUAUUGGACAAUGGGGGGAACCCUGAUCCAGCCAUGCCGCGUGUGUGAAGAAGGCCUUAUGGUUGUAAACUGCUUUUGUACGGAACGAAAAGGUUUGACUUAAUACGUUGGACUCAUGACGGUACCGUAAGAAUAAGCACCGGCUAACUACGUGCCAGCAGCCGCCGUAA
rnacentral:rRNA from 1 species